rnacentral:rRNA from 1 species
UACGUAGGGUGCGAGCGUUGUCCGGAAUUAUUGGGCGUAAAGAGCUCGUAGGCGGUGUGUCGCGUCGGCCGUGAAAACCUGGGGCUCAACUCUGGGCGUGCGGUCGAUACGGGCAUCACUUGAGUUCGGCAGGGGAGACUGGAAUUCCUGGUGUAGCGGUGAAAUGCGCAGAUAUCAGGAGGAACACCGGUGGCGAAGGCGGUUCUCUGGGCAUGUCCUGACGCUGAGGAGCGAAAGUGUGGGGAGCGAACAGG